AAAACUUUCAACAACGGAUCUCUUGGUUCUGGCAUCGAUGAAGAACGCAGCAAAAUGCGAUAAGUAAUGUGAAUUGCAGAAUUCAGUGAAUCAUCGAAUCUUUGAACGCACAUUGCGCCCGCCAGUAUUCUGGCGGGCAUGCCUGUUCGAGCGUCAUUUC